rnacentral:rRNA from 1 species
UACGUAGGUGGCAAGCGUUAUCCGGAUUUAUUGGGCGUAAAGGGAACGCAGGCGGUCCUUUAAGUCUGAUGUGAAAGCCUUCGGCUUAACCGGAGUAGUGCAUUGGAAACUGGGAGACUUGAGUGCAGAAGAGGAGAGUGGAACUCCAUGUGUAGCGGUGAAAUGCGUAGAUAUAUGGAAGAACGCCAGUGGCGAAAGCGGCUCUCUGGUCUGUAACUGACGCUGAGGUUCGAAAGCGUGGGUAGCAAACAGG